rnacentral:rRNA from 1 species
AUUGAACGCUGGCGGCAUGCCUUACACAUGCAAGUCGAACGGCAGCACGGGUGCUUGCACCUGGUGGCGAGUGGCGAACGGGUGAGUAAUAUAUCGGAACGUACCUUAUUGUGGGGGAUAACGCAGCGAAAGCUGUGCUAAUACCGCAUAAUCCCUAAGGGGGAAAGCGGGGGACCGUAAGGCCUCGCGCAAUUAGAGCGGCCGAUACCUGAUUAGCCAGUUGGUGAGGUAAAGGCUCACCAAGGCAACGAUCAGUAGCUGGUCUGAGAGGACAAUCAGCCACACUGGGACUGAGACACGGCCCAGACGCCUACGGGAGGCAGCAGUGGGGAAUUUUGGACAAUGGGGGCAACACUGAUCCAGCAAUGCCGCGUGAGUGAAGAAGGCCUUCGGGUUGUAAAGCUCUUUUGUCAGGGAAGAAACAGCAGCUCUAACACAGUUUGCGAAUGACGGUACCUGAAGAAUAAGCACCGGCUAACUACGUGCCAGCAGCCGCCGCAG